GACGAACGCUGGCGGCGUGCUUAACACAUGCAAGUCGAGCGGUAAGGCCCUUUCGGGGGUACACGAGCGGCGAACGGGUGAGUAACACGUGGGUGACCUGCCCUCAGCUCUGGGAUAAGCCUGGGAAACUGGGUCUAAUACUGGAUAUGACUCCACGGUGCAUGUCGUGGGGUGGAAAGCCUUGUGCGGCUGAGGAUGGGCCCGCGGCCUAUCAGCUUGUUGGUGGGGUGANGGCCUACCAAGGCGACGACGGGUAGCCGGCCUGAGAGGGCGACCGGCCACACUGGGACUGAGACACGGCCCAGACUCCUACGGGAGGCAGCAGUGGGGAAUCUUGCGCAAUGGGCGAAAGGCCUGACGCAGCGACGCCGC
rnacentral:rRNA from 1 species